UGAUCAUGGAAACGAGCAAGACUUGGAGGUGCUAAUCUUACACGAGCACACCAAUUGCAUCAUCCAGUAGAUCAGAUUUGCUGGACUCAUCAUAUAUGGUACAUAUGUGCAUACGUUUUCUAUCACAAUGGAACUCUAGAUAAUUGUUUGUUCCUACACAUGGAUUUUAUUGCGGAGAUUUUUCAAGCAGCACAGUGUAGAGAGCAAAGGAUUUGCAGAAGGAGCGAAUCGAAGACUUGAUCAUCUUGGGAUUUAACAGAUUAAUUCAGU